UGCUGAAAUAGAAGUUGCUAUUAGUAUUAGAAACAAUCCUGUCCAUAUGCAACAAACAUCAAAAUGCAAUGGACUUGAUAAAUUACAUAUCAUUUGUGGUGGAAGAAUAGGUUGCAGAAAAUAGGCUCCAUUUAAAACAUCAACCUCAGAUCGCCUCCUACAAACUACCAUGCACUUUCCAGAAAUUACACAGUAACCUGUUUUGCCUUCUAGAGUAACUCAACCUGCUAGAUUGCCUCCUUCAAACUUUUGCUUAUUACAUGAACGCUUGCAAUACUAGUGCCACUGGAUUGAAACAAUAACUUAAACUGAAGAAAAAAAAAAAUCCUGACUUUUGUCAAAUUUGCAGAGUGCUAUGGUCUAACUCUCAAGUUUUUCCAAACAUAGCAUGCUAAGGAAUAGCAUCACUAAUGAAAAUGCUAAUGAAUUUUCAUGGAACAGUAUCGAUUUCUAUAAAAGAAGAAGAAAAGAAGCUAAGAAUACAUAAAACUCAUUUAUCAGAAAAUCAACUAACCAUUGUCUACUUUUAGUAUCUAAUUCCUUUAGCAACCUCAAAAAAAUGAGCAACAUUCUCCUCUGGUGUGCCUACUACAAUUCCAUGACCAAGAUUCAAUAUGUGUUUCCCUUUACCAGCUUUUCUCACAACAUCAUUUAUCCGAUUAGUGAUAAACUCCUUUGAGCCAAAAAGGACUCCAGGAUCUACAUUUCCCUGAACUGCCAUAUCAGGUCCCAAUCGCCUCCUACCUUCAGCCAUAUCCACUGUCCAAUCCAAGCUAACUACAUCCACACCUGUCAAAGCUAACCUCUCAAGCAAGCCCCCAGAUCCACUUGCAUAGAGGAUUAGAGGGAGAUUUGGAUGUGUUUUUCUCACAGUAUCCACAAUCUGCUUCAGGUAUGGAAGACUGAACUCUUCAAAAUCAACAGGGCUAAGCUCUGUGGCCCAUGAGUCAAAGAUUUGAACAGCUUGAGCCCCAUUGUCAGCUUGAUAUUGAAUGUAUUUUGCCAUUGAGAUUGCCAAUUUCUGAAGCAAUGCAUGAAGUACCUUAGGCUGAGAGAAAGCUAAUCUUUUUAUUUUUGAAAAGUGCUUUGAUGAGCCACCUUCAACAACAUAUGAUGCCAGGGUAAAAGGAGCCCCAACAAAACCAAGCACUGCAGCCUUAUUAUCUACCUGAAGAAAAGAAGAAGAGUGUGAACUUGCUCAGAAUUUUAUUGGCUGCGAUAAAACAAUAGAAAAUCCCGGAACAAUCAUUGGUUUCAUUAGAUUUAUCAAGAAAGAGCUCCCUCUUUUAAUAUGCCAAAAUCUUUGGAUAAAGAGUAAAAAAAAUAUGCAACUGUUCAUUUAGAAAUUAAAAUUAUAUCCCACACAGAAAGAAUUUUUUUCACGGUGAGAAGUGAGAACUAUAAAAUGUGUUCAAGCAAUCUUGUUAAAAAAAAAAGAAAAUUCAUUCAGACUGGCCCCCAUGCAAGGUUGUUUUCAUUCAGUUCUAUGAUUCCAAGUUUUUAGUACCAAAGGUGUUAGUUUGAUUCUACUGCAAGUAAUCAUGCACAGCCUGGACCACAAAGACACGGAAAAGAAUUUCUCUCAAACUUUAAAGGUAUAAUCUACAACUUGCUCCUUCCUAGGAAAUUCAAAUGCAUCCAUCACAAUAAAUAAACUGCAUUUUGCAAUGCAGCUGGUGGCUAACUGGAGCAUAAGGAGGCUUAAUCUAUGAAGAAAACAACUGAAUAAAACGAAAACAAUUUAACUUUCAAAGUUGAAAAUCAAAAGAGAAGCACGCUAAGCUGGACCUCUUUUCGAAGGAUUGUCAAUGAUUCUCCAACGUAUGGAACUGACUCCUCAGGAAAAAAUUCUCUUACUUGAUCAACAUCUGCAGCAGUGCGUAAAGGAUUGAAUAUAACAGGGCCUUUACCUUUCACAAUGUCAAAAGGUAUAUUCAUCCCAGAAAGUGGAGUAAGAAUGUCUGAGAAUAAAAUGACCCCAUCUGGCUUAAAAACAUUCCAAGGCUGCAGAGAAAUUUCCACUACAAGAUCAACAUUUUCUGAUCUUUCACGAAAUGAAGGAUACUUCUCACAAAUGAUUUGGUAACUCUGUAGUUAAAAAGAAUGAGAUCCAAGUUAACUACAGUAUAUAGGCUUAGCUAAAAUGAUCAAACACAUUAAAGAUGUGCUCUUACUGAUGGAUAAAAGAGUAGAAAAAAUAACAUGAUAUAACAAAAACUCUCUGAUCUAUAUGAUAUGGUAAGGCAGAACAAUAUGCCUCACGGUAUGAUAAGGGAAAGAUGAUGUUAUAGCCAAGCAUACUAUAAAUCUGGUGUAUACCUAGUUCUCAAAAGCUAUUCCAUUUCUAGACAGCCACAUUAUCGUCAUAUUGAGAUACUAAGUUAAUAAGCAGGCACUAUAAAACAAAAUUACUGCACAAUUAUGCACAAUAAUCAGCAGAAGGCACAAUAUAUAUGAAUGUAGAAUCUCUAAAAUCACAAUUAUGCACGAUCAAUCAUCAAACUAGAAAGGCGAAAGCAAUAAAAAGUAUAAGCCUUAAGCAUGGAAAAUUACAACAGUAGAAAAGCAUAUGAAAACUAAAGCUGCAUAGACCUGCCUUCAUGUACCUCCCUGCUUGCCUCAUAAGCCAAACUGGGGGUCUUUCAACAUUUUCUCCUCUGACAGCAUUAAGCAACAAGGGUUCAGCCACGGAAGCAGUCUUUGGUUCCGCCACCGUCCCUGGAAGGGAGCAGAGGACAAUUGGAGGCUUAGGUAUUGAUUUUCUUGGAGAAGAGGGGAGAGCAGAGAAAGAAGAGAUUGAGUUAAUGCUACAAAUGCAAGACAUUGAUGCUGAUAUUGGGGUAAACCCAGUUUUGAUUUAGAAUGAAAGCUUCAAACUUUGGAUUUAAGCUGCUGCGGAAGCUUUUCUCUCUUCUCUGCCCAGGCUGUAAAAGGGGUCCUUUGACAGACAGAGAGAUGGAUAAGGGUAUCUAAUUGCCUGUUUUCUUUUGCCAUGUCAGCCUUUGGCCUUGUUUGAAAAGAUUGUUGGAGUUGGAUUCUUAAAGUGCAAUUUUUUAUUAAGACCUUGAAAGAAUGAUUCGCCUAGUCAUAUAAAAAUUGAAUUUACAUUAAUUAUAUCCACAAAAUAAUAAGAAAUUUAAUAAUUAAAUAAACAAAACACACAAAAAUCCACUUAAAAAUUUAUUUACAGAAUUUGACACUUAAUAAGCAUUUACUUAUAAAAAUUUACAAUUUAAUCAUUAUCCUUAAUAAAAUAAUAAUUGAGCUUGGUUUUUUCAAUCUGUAUGUACUAUUACACAACCAAUAUUAAAAGGCCUUCACAGAUAAGGUCAUCAGAGGAAAACUUCAAUUGUCAACGUUAUCCAUAGAAUCCAUUAAAGUGCAACUACUAGAUAGUGUUUAACUUCCAACAAUCUCCACUCGAUUAUGCCCAAUAUUGUCACAGUCUCAGGAAAAGUAAGAAGAAGAAAGAGGAGGGGAACUCCGUAAUAAUUCUAAUUUCCAAAAUGAUCAAAAUAAUGUACAUAACCUCUGAUAUCAAUCAGAUAAUCACAUGAUAUAAGAACUACAAACAUUGUAU
rnacentral:misc_RNA from 1 species